UUGUACUUCAUGAAGAAGACUCUCUGCAUAAUAGUUUUGGUCAAUUUCAUGUCUCAAUUUGAUGCAAAAUAACACACUGAAAUGCCUUGAGAUAUCAGUUGCAGGCAUCUCUGACCUUCCAUGUCAUGUUAUUCAGUCGAAGAAGGAGGCUCCUGGUAGUGAUUUGGAGUUCCUUAGUAACUCAAAAGUCUUAUACAAUCCACUGUAACUGUUGUAGUUUACAAUUUUACUUCUACACACAUGGCGUGAACAUUAGAACAUCCUUAUGCUUUUCUCAUGCAAUGCAUUUCAUUGGUCAUAUCUUUGCAUGCCAUGCCAGAUGUAGUUUGAAUGGAGUCGUUUCUUUUCCAUUUCUUUUUCUUUUUCGAAAAUAAAUGAGAUUUUCAGUAUCUGAAAUAUGCAUAUAGGGAAAUUACAUAAUAGUUCUAAAUGAUAGGUCAUAUAUAUGGUAACACCAUAUAUUGAUUGUUGAUCAAUUAAUGAUGAACUACUCUCGUCCUGAUAAA
rnacentral:lncRNA from 1 species